rnacentral:rRNA from 1 species
UAUCCGGGAGACACACGGCGGGUGCUAACGUCCGUCGUGGAGAGGGAAACAACCCAGACCGCCAGCUAAGGUCCCAAAUUACAGCUAAGUGGGAAACGAUGUGGGAAGGCUCAGACAGCUAGGAUGUUGGCUUAGAAGCAGCCAUCAUUUAAAGAAAGCGUAAUAGCUCACUAGUCGAGUCGGCCUGCGCGGAAGAUGUAACGGGGCUAAGCUGUAAACCGAAGCUGCGGCAAUGUACUUUAGUAUAUUGGGUAGGGGAGCGUUCUGUAAGCCGUUGAAGGUGGAUUGUAAAGUCUGCUGGAGGUAUCAGAAGUGCGAAUGCUGACAUGAGUAACGACAAAGGGGGUGAAAAACCCCCUCGCCGGAAGACCAAGGGUUCCUGUCCAACGUUAAUCGGGGCAGGGUGAGUCGACCCCUAAGGCGAGGCCGAAAGGCGUAGUCGAUGGGAAACGGGUUAAUAUUCCCGUACUUGUUGUGAAUGCGAUGGGGGGACGGAGAAGGCUAGGUGGGCCUGGCGACGGUCGUCCAGGUUCAAGUGCGUAGGCUGUAGAGUUAGGCAAAUCCGGCUCUACGAUAGGCUGAGACACGAUGUCGAGUCACCAAGGUGAUGAAGUCAUUGAUGCCAUGCUUCCGGGAAAAGCCUCUAAGCUUCAGUUCACAAGAAAUCGUACCCCAAACCGACACAGGUGGUCGGGUAGAGAAUACCAAGGCGCUUGAGAGAACUCGGGUGAAGGAACUAGGCAAAAUGGUACCGUAACUUCGGGAGAAGGUACGCUCUUGCUGGUGAAGUCCCUUGCGGAUGGAGCUGAUGAGAGUCGCAGAUACCAGGUGGCUGCAACUGUUUAUUAAAAACACAGCACUGUGCAAAAUCGUAAGAUGACGUAUACGGUGUGACGCCUGCCCGGUGCCGGAAGGUUAAUUGAUGGGGUUAGCUUAGGCGAAGCUCUUGAUCGAAGCCCCGGUAAACGGCGGCCGUAACUAUAACGGUCCUAAGGUAGCGAAAUUCCUUGUCGGGUAAGUUCCGACCUGCACGAAUGGCGUAAUGAUGGCCACGCUGUCUCCACCCGAGACUCAGUGAAAUUGAAAUCGCUGUGAAGAUGCAGUGUACCCGCGGCUAGACGGAAAGACCCCGUGAACCUUUACUACAGCUUGGCACUGAACAUUGAGCCUACAUGUGUAGGAUAGGUGGGAGGCUUUGAAGCAGUCACGCUAGUGACUGUGGAGCCGACCUUGAAAUACCACCCUUGUAUGUUUGAUGUUCUAACUUGGCCCCAUUAUCUGGGGUGAGGACAGUGCCUGGUGGGUAGUUUGACUGGGGCGGUCUCCUCCCAAAGUGUAACGGAGGAGCACGAAGGUGGGCUAAUCACGGUUGGACAUCGUGAGGUUAGUGCAAUGGCAUAAGCCCGCUUAACUGCGAGAGUGACGGCUCGAGCAGGUGCGAAAGCAGGUCA